AGGCCGUCAGGUCCGAUAUGCGCCACGCCGUCCUCCCGUUCUUGCGAUAAUGACGUUUAACCCAAUCCGGUGCGUCGCGCAUUGAGGCCGCGCCAUCGCGCGCGGUGAUCCAGUUUAGAUCAAUUCUAGAUUUGAUCGCAGAGGCUUAGCCAGUUUGGAAUAGCUUAAAAGUGGCUGUUUUCCUUUUGCAUCGGGGGCCUCGCUCCAAUACCUGUGGG
rnacentral:misc_RNA from 1 species